rnacentral:rRNA from 1 species
ACGGGAGGCAGCAGUGGGGAAUAUUGGGCAAUGGGCGCAAGCCUGACCCAGCAACGCCGCGUGAAGGAAGAAGGCUUUCGGGUUGUAAACUUCUUUUACCAGGGACGAAGGACGUGACGGUACCUGGAGAAAAAGCCACGGCUAACUACGUGCCAGCAGCCGCGGUAAUACGUAGGUGGCAAGCGUUGUCCGGAUUUACUGGGUGUAAAGGGAGCGCAGGCGGGACAGCAAGUUGGAUGUGAAAUACCGAGGCUUAACCACGGAGCUGCAUCCAAAACUGUUGUUCUUGAGUGAAGUAGAGGUAGGCGGAAUUCCGAGUGUAGCGGUGAAAUGCGUAGAUAUUCGGAGGAACACCAGUGGCGAAGGCGGCCUACUGGGCUUUAACUGACGCUGAGGCUCGAAAGUGUGGGGAGCAAACAGGAUUAGAUACCCUGGUA